GUGGGGAAUUUUGCGCAAUGGGGGAAACCCUGACGCAGCGACGCCGCGUGCAGGACGAAGGCCUUCGGGUUGUAAACUGCUUUUAUAGGGGAAGAUGAUGACGGUACCCUAUGAAUAAGCCACGGCUAACUCUGUGCCAGCAGCCGCGGUAAGACAGAGGUGGCAAGCGUUGUUCGGAUUUACUGGGCUUAAAGGGCGCGUAGGCGGUCGGGCAAGUCUGUGGUGGAAUCCCAGGGCUCAACCCUGGAAUUGCCAUAGAAACUGCUUGACUUGAGUCAGCGAGGGGAUGGCGGAAUUCCUGGUGUAGCAGUGAAAUGCGUAGAUAUCAGGAGGAAGGCCGGUGGCGAAGGCGGCCAUCUGGCGCUUGACUGACGCUGAGGCGCGAAAGCGUGGGGAGCAAACAGGAUUAGAAACCCCAGUAGUCC
rnacentral:rRNA from 1 species